GACGAGCGCUGGCGGCGUGCCUAAUACAUGCAAGUCGAGCGGACCGAAGGGAGCUUGCUCUUUUAGGUUAGCGGCGGACGGGUGAGUAACACGUAGGCAACCUGCCCUCAAGACUGGGAUAACUACCGGAAACGGUAGCUAAUACCGGAUAAUUUCUUUCCUCUCCUGAAGAGAGAAUGAAAGGCGGAGCAAUCUGCUGCUUGGGGAUGGGCCUGCGGCGCAUUAGCUAGUUGGUGGGGUAAUGGCUCACCAAGGCGACGAUGCGUAGCCGACCUGAGAGGGUGAACGGCCACACUGGGACUGAGCCACGGCCCAG
rnacentral:rRNA from 1 species